UACAGAGGGUGCAAGCGUUAAUCGGAAUUACUGGGCGUAAAGCGUGCGUAGACGGUUAUGUAAGUCGGGUGUGAAAGCCCCGGGCUCAACCUGGGAAUUGCAUUCGAGACUGCAUAGCUAGGGUGCGGAAGAGGGAAGCGGAAUUUCCGAUGUAGCGGUGAAAUGCGUAGAUAUCGGAAGGAACACCAGUGGCGAAAGCGGCUUCCUGGUCCAGCACCGACGUUCAGGCACGAAAGCGUGGGGAGCAAACAGG
rnacentral:rRNA from 1 species